UACAGAGGUCUCGAGCGUUAGGCGGAAUCACUGGGCUUAAAGCGCGUGUAGGCGGCCCGAUAAGUCCGCUGUGAAAGUCCAGGGCUCAACCCUGGAAUGCCGGUGGAUACUGUCGGGCUCGAGUCCGGAAGAGGCGAGUGGAAUUCCUGGUGUAGCGGUGAAAUGCGCAGAUAUCAGGAGGAACACCGAUGGCGAAGGCAGCUCGCUGGGACGGUACUGACGCUGAGACGCGAAAGCGUGGGGAGCAAACAGG
rnacentral:rRNA from 1 species